UACGGAGGGUGCAAGCGUUAUCCGGAUUUACUGGGUUUAAAGGGUGCGUAGGCGGCUCUUUUAAGUCAGUGGUGAAAUCCUAGUGCUCAACACUAGAACUGCCAUUGAAACUAAAGAGCUCGAGUCAAGGAGAGGUAAGCAGAAUUUAUGGUGUAGUAGUGAAAUGCUUAGAUACCAUAAGGAAUACCAAUAGCGAAGGCAGCUUACUGGCCUUGCACUGACGCUGAGGCACGAAAGCGUGGGGAGCAAACAGG
rnacentral:rRNA from 1 species